GGCCCCGUAAUUAGCUAAAGGUAUAAGCGUUUGUACAGAACCUUUACCGAAAGACUUUUCACCCAAAAUAACAGCACGCUUAUGGUCUUGCAACGCACCGGCAACAAUCUCGGAAGCCGAGGCCGAUCCGUCAUUAAUCAAAACCACAAUCGGCAAUCCUUUCAAAACAUCGCCUUCUUUGGCAGAGUAUUUCACAUUAUCUUCUUCAUUACGAGAACGCGUUGAAACAAUUUCACCCUUAUCCAAGAACAAAUCCGAGACCCCGAUGGCCUGGUCCAACAGUCCUCCCGGGUUAUUACGUAA
rnacentral:ncRNA from 1 species